rnacentral:rRNA from 1 species
CACGUAGGGCGCAAGCGUUAUCCGGAUUCAUUGGGUUUAAAGGGAGCGUAGGCGGUCUUGUAAGUCAGUGGUGAAAUCUCGAGGCUUAACCUCGAAAUUGCCAUUGAUACUGCAGGACUUGAGUACAGUUGCCGUUGGCGGAAUAUGACAUGUAGUGGUGAAAUACAUAGAGAUGUCAUAGAACACCGAUUGCGAAGGCAGCUAACGAAACUGUAACUGACGCUGAGGCUCGAAAGUGUGGGGAUCAAACAGG